GUAGUUGUGCCGCAGUGGUUAUGGCGUGGACUUGAAAUCCAUUGGGGUCUCCCUGCGCUGGUUCAAAUCCUGCCAACUACG